rnacentral:tRNA from 1 species
AGAAAUAUGUCUGAUAAAAGAGUUACUUUGAUAGAGUGAACAAUAGAGGUUUAAAUCCUCUUAUUUCUA